CUCUGAUGAGCCCAUUGUUGCCCCAAUAAACUUAGUUACAUUAGGAUGAUCAAGCUUGUGCCACACAGCAACUUCUUGUGUAAAAGCUGCUCUAAGUGAGGCUAUUUCAGCCUCUGACCUGUGACCCUCCUCCCCCCAAUCAAGAAGUUUAACAGCAACAUCUUGGCCAUCAUAAAUGCCACGGUGAACGGUGCCAAAGGUGCCACGAGCUAUAACACCUUUGAUGAUGAGCUUAGAUGGGGCAAUCUCCCAUUCUUGCCUUGUUAUAGUGUUGGUUAGAGGACUUUGCACUACUGUUUCUCCUUCUUCUCCAUCUUUCUUGUUCUUGUUCUUCUCCAUAGUCCAUGCUCUACUUAGAUGCCUCUGGAGUUGCUCGUCCAGGCUCUUCAGAUCUAUCUGAUCUGCUCUCACAUAUCCACCACCACUUUCACUCUUCCCCUUCAUUUCUUUGUGAAAGGAGUCUUUUCUUGUGGAAAAAAGAGCAAAAGACUCUUCCUUUCUCGGUAGAAGAGUGUCUGUGGGCGUUGUUCAAAUGCAAAGGACAAAGAAGACAAAGAGUAACUGCCUGUGAACCUGUGGGUUCUGUUUCUGUAGUAGUAGCAGUAGUAAUAGACUAAUAGUGUAGUAGACUAGUAGUAGUUUUAGACUUUCUAAGUUUCAAGUAUACUGUAUGCCUGUAUCUAUAGUAGUGAUGGUGAUGGUGAUGAUGUGAUUACCAUUAUAAUAAUCUAACAAUAACAAUACUAAGCAUAAUCAAUAUGGUGGUCUCUUUCUCUCUGUGAGUGCUUCUGUACUAGCAAGAGCAAUGGUAGAAGAGAAGAAGCUUAUUAUAAAUUAAAAU
rnacentral:misc_RNA from 1 species